UACGAAGGGGGCUAGCGUUGCUCGGAAUCACUGGGCGUAAAGGGUGCGUAGGCGGGUCUUUAAGUCAGGGGUGAAAUCCUGGAGCUCAACUCCAGAACUGCCUUUGAUACUGAGAGCUUGAGUCGGGAGAGGUGAGUGGAACUGCGAGUGUAGAGGUGAAAUUCGUAGAUAUUCGCAAGAACACCAGUGGCGAAGGCGGCUCACUGGCCCGGUACUGACGCUGAGGUGCGAAAGCGUGGGGAGCAAACAGG
rnacentral:rRNA from 1 species